rnacentral:tRNA from 1 species
UGGGCUGUAGCUCAGUGGUAGAGUGCCUGCCUAGCUAGCAUGCAUGAGGCACUGGGUUUGAUCCUCAGCACCACAU